AAAGUUAUCUUUCACUACCACGGCAAGGGCAAUGUUCUGCAAUUUUACUGUAUUCAAUUAUAUUGAUUUGUUAUAUCAAGCCAUUGAAUCCGUGCAUACAGAUAAAACUACGUACUACACUAUCUUUCCAGAGCAUUUUAUGUGUGUUAGGACAGGCACACAUUAGUUUGUUUGGUUCUUAAACAUCUUGAAUGUUUCAAUUAAGCAGUCGGUUCCUCUUGGGGCUUUUCUUGCUGUUUAAGGUGUCAUUAUAGUUUUGACCCUUUUGGGUAGCUCUUGUUUUCUCUUGGGACACAUUAACUAAUGAUAUAGUUGACACGUUUCCACAAGCACCUUGCGAAUUCAACCUUACAAUUACUCAUUCUGCCAUGACAAAUAAAAUGGCUUAAUUCCCUGUCAAAACAUGGUGACACCUUGUAUGAACGUGUAAAUAUCUUACUUGUAUUCUUGUUUAGUCAAUCUUCUGUCUUUUGACUGGCAAGGGAAAUUUAUCAGGUCCAUUGAGAAGCCGAGCUGCAAAAGCAAUUGGAUUCAUAGAUAUGAUGAUUGAUUACUCGUUAGAAAACGCUCCUUUGCAAAAAGAGCUAUCUGCAGAUGAGGUGGGAAACACCGCUGCCUUCCUGGUAUCGCCAUUGGCUUCUGCCAUCACUGGUGCUGUUAUAUACGUUGACAACGGUCUGAAUGCGAUGGGUGUGGGAGUGGAUAGUCCUAUAUUUAAAGACCUUGACAUUCCGAAGAAUAAGCAUUAGAGGUAUCGCAUGGUUUACAGGAUAGAAGAGGAGAUUUGAAAUCUUAGGUUAGUGGUAUUGUCGCUGUUUUUCUCUUCUUUAACCCCCUUAUGGUCAUCACCCAAGAAUGGCUUGGGUAGCGGACCCCAUUUUGUGAUGAGAGCAUCUGUUUCUUCCAAAGGGACUUUCUUCUUGUUUCUGAUAAAAUUGUGGAAAAAGAUUUUUGAGUAUGACUUCCCAUUAUGUGCUCUUUGUUGAAUUUAAAACAAUUAAUCUCCAACUGUGAAAUCCGACAAAGAACUUGAUGGAAUGCAGGAAAUACAAACAAUUUGAUGUGUUUCUCAUUUUCUC